CCUUCACCUCUCACCUCCUACCUUUACCCUCCCGCCCCGCCGCCCUCCGCACGUGCGCCCAGCGGCGUGCGCAUGCGUAGUCGAACCACAUUCGCGUCUCCCGUUCGCCCUCUGGUGGACACCGGAGGGAAGUAUGGACGGCCGGGCCGGGCCGGGCCGGGCGGAGCGUGAAGCCGGGUUAGGGCCCGCCGGGUUUGGGCCCACCGGCUCUCAUCGGUCAUCAAGAACUUGCAGAAAGCCGGGCACGGUGGCUCGCGGUUGUAAUCCCAACACUGUGGGAGUCCAAGGCGCGAAGAUCGCUUGAGCCGAGGAGUUAGAGACCAACUUGGGCAACGUAGGAGACCUCCGUCUCCACAAGUAAAAUUAAUUAGCCGGCUGUGGUGGCGCGCACCUGUGGUCCCAGCUACUCAGGAGGCUGAGGUGUCAGUUGCGGAGCUGGUAUUGUACAUGUCCUCGCAUUUGGCCCUCCUGAAAAUCCGAGAGAGGAGAUGAUGUGUCCAAGGUCACUCUGAGAACUGAACAGAGGGCCGCCUUCUGGGACCCAAGACUCCAGGUUCCAGCCCACUGCCCAGCUGCCUCACCCUGUCAUGAGCACAAUAAAGGAGUUUCAUGAUUA